UGUUAAUCUGUCUUCGUCUAGUAUACUACCUCUAGUGUUCCCAUUGGUAGGGUUCUCAUUGACUCCUCUCUGCCGCUGCUGUCCAAAAUAAUUUUCCAAAGGAUCUUGUGACAGACGUUCACUUAAAAAUGAAUUAACACUGGGAAUAGUGAACAGGAACUUUACCAAAUCAAUGAACAGUUCCUGGCAGUCUUUAUCAGGUGUGGAGGGUCUGAAAAAAAGAAGACUUCUGUGUUUUCAUUU